rnacentral:rRNA from 1 species
UACAGAGGGUGCGAGCGUUAAUCGGAAUUACUGGGCGUAAAGGGCGCGUAGGUGGUUAAUUAAGUCAGAUGUGAAAUCCCCGGGCUUAACCUGGGAAUUGCAUUUGAAACUGGUUGGCUAGAGUAUGGUAGAGGUAAGUGGAAUUUCCGGUGUAGCGGUGAAAUGCGUAGAUAUCGGAAGGAACACCAGUGGCGAAGGCGACUUACUGGACCAUUACUGACACUGAGGCGCGAAAGCGUGGGGAGCGAAC